GGUCUGUAGCUCAGUGGUACAGCACUUGCCUAGCAUGUGUGAGGCCCUGAGUUUGAGCCUCAGCACCA
rnacentral:tRNA from 1 species